rnacentral:rRNA from 1 species
AUUGAACGCUGGAGGCGUGCCUAAUACAUGCAAGUCGAGCGAAUGGAUUGAGAGCUUGCUCUUAUGAAGUUAGCGGCGGACGGGUGAGUAACACGUGGGUAACCUGCCCAUAAGACUGGGAUAACUCCGGGAAACCGGGGCUAAUACCGGAUAACAUUUUGAACCGCAUGGUUCGAAAUUGAAAGGCGGCUUCGGCUGUCACUCAUGGAUGGACCCGCGUCGCAUUAGCUAGUUGGUGAGGUAACGGCUCACCAAGGCAACGAUGCGUAGCCGACCUGAGAGGGUGAUCGGCCACACUGGGACUGAGACACGGCCCAGACUCCUACGGGAGGCAGCAGUAGGGAAUCUUCCGCAAUGGACGAAAGUCUGACGGAGCAACGCCGCGUGAGUGAUGAAGGCUUUCGGGUCGUAAAACUCUGUUGUUAGGGAAGAACAAGUGCUAGUUGAAUAAGCUGGCACCUUGACGGUACCUAACCAGAAAGCCACGGCUAACUACGUGCCAGCCGCCGCAGUAA